rnacentral:ncRNA from 1 species
GUUGGUUUUGCAACUGGACUAUCCUAUGGUUACUUUGUUUCAACCUUGUUCUCAUAUUGUCAACAAGACCUCAGCCUGCUAACUAGCUACGCUGAGGUUUCCCUUCGUGGCCAGCUUCUUAGAGGGACUAUGGCCGUUUAGGCCAUGGAAGUUUGAGGCAAUAAUAGGUCCGUGAUGCCCU